AAUAAAGAAAAAAGCCUUCAAGCCUAUUCUUCAUACCCUGCUGCCCUGUAGGAAUCUCCUCAUCUUCAGAAAGCUGGUCAAGCGCGUGGUUCAAGAGCUCCACAUUUAAGGUGUGAGAUUUCUCAACAUGAUCACUUAGAAAAAAAAGCCUUAUUUCUUAAUGGGAGGUACAUCAAAGAGAGCACGCAGCUGGCUGCAAAAAAAGAAAAAAAGAAAAUACUAGCAUCCAGAAACACACAAAUUCCUUCCCAAC